GUGCUUAUUUCAUCAGCACAAACACUAUAAUUAAAAUGUUACGAGAAGAUUAGUGUGGUCCCUGAGCAAGGAUGCACAGAAAUUCAUGAAGUGUCUCGUAUCUUU
ensembl:snRNA U6 U6 spliceosomal RNA